GAGCACAAACUAUCCCUCCCCCCAUCUCUCUCACGAACACACACCCCCACGCCGCCAAAUGGCCGCCGCCGCCCGCCCCCUUGUCUCCGUACAACCUCUACCCGCGUCCCUCAAUGACAUGGCCACUGAUUCUGUCACAACCGUGGCUCUCCCCGAUGUCAUGAAGGCCUCAAUCAGACCGGACAUCGUCAAUUUUGUCCACUCCAACAUCUCCAAGAACAGCCGUCAACCUUACGCCGUCUCAAAGAAGGCCGGCCACCAGACCUCAGCCGAAUCUUGGGGUACCGGUCGUGCCGUUUCUCGUAUCCCCCGUGUUUCUGGUGGUGGAACUCACCGUGCUGGUCAGGGAGCUUUUGGAAACAUGUGCCGUGGUGGACGCAUGUUUGCUCCUACCAAGACCUGGCGCCGCUGGCACAGGAAGAUUAACGUCAACCAAAAGCGAUACGCUGUCGUUUCAGCUAUUGCUGCCUCUGCUGUUCCUUCUCUGGUAAUGGCACGCGGUCACCGGGUGGAGUCAGUCCCUGAGAUGCCUCUGGUAAUCUCUGAUUCGGCCGAGAGCAUUGAAAAAACAUCCACUGCUAUUAAGGUGCUGAAGGAAAUUGGUGCUUAUCCAGAUGCCGAGAAGGCCAAGGAUUCUCAAGCGAUCCGGGCAGGAAAGGGAAAAAUGAGGAACAGGAGGUACAUUUCCCGCAAGGGACCCCUGAUUGUGUAUGGAACCGAAGGUGCUAAGUUGGUGAAGGCCUUCCGUAAUAUUCCGGGAGUGGAGGUGGCUAACGUUGAGAGGCUGAACUUGUUGAGGCUGGCUCCCGGCGGUCAUCUUGGAAGGUUUGUGAUCUGGACAAAAUCAGCUAUCGAGAAGCUUGAUUCAAUAUAUGGGACUUUCGAUAAGUGUUCCGAGAAGAAGAAGGGUUAUGUGCUGCCUAGGACCAAGAUGGUGAAUGCUGAUUUGGCUAGGAUCAUCAACUCUGACGAGGUUCAGAGCGUUGUGAAUCCAAUCAAGAAGGAGGUUAAGAGGGCGCCUUUGAAGAAGAACCCAUUGAAGAACUUGAACGUGAUGCUGAAAUUGAAUCCAUAUGCUAAGACUGCUAGGAGGAUGGCCCUUCUGGCUGAAGCAGAGCGCGUGAAGGCCAAGAAGGAGAAGCUCGACAGGAAGAGGAAACCUGUGUCGAAGGUAUAUUGGCUAUCUAUCUGUUUUUUUCUGCUUGAGAGUGGUAUAUUGUUAAUAGCUAUAUGUUGCGAUUGUGAAUUGAUUAGGUGGUUGCUUUUGUAUGCUUUGGUAUUGUGGAUGGAAGCUGUUGAAUGUGAUUUUUUUUUUUGUGUAUUAAGAAUGUCAGAAUAAUGUGUAGUCGUAUAGAGUAUAGACUACUGUCAGAACAAUUUGGUGGAGUUUCGUAUACCGCUAAGCUUUCAGAGCAUUGCUAUGUUCAUCAAUUAUUACGCUAUACCAAAUCUAAUCUCUAUUAUACUAUAGGUUUUGCCACUGACAGCAAAUAGCUCUUUGUUUUGUUGGUGUGUCUUGCACUUGUCUACUUCUUUAUUAACAAUGUUUCUUUUCUUAUGAAAUCAAUAGGAGGAGCUAGCUGCUGCUAAGGCUGCAGGAAAGGCUUGGUACAAGACCAUGAUUUCUGACAGCGAUUACACCGAGUUCGAGAAUUUCACCAAGUGGCUUGGUGUCUCCCAGUGAUUUAUUUCUGUUUUUAGAGAGGAGUUUUGCUUAUUUACUUGAUUAUGCUGUCAACUUUUGUUUUGCUAUUGUACAUGGAGGGGAUGUUAGGUAUUUUGUAGCCUUUCUUCCAAUCCCAUUCUUCUAUUUUGCUAGGUCAAAGAAUUUCUAUUCCAAUCAGAAAUGAAUGGAACAAUUUAUUACCUCACUUGUGUGUUUUAUUUGAAUUGCUUGCUUUAGAGCGUGUUUGGUAGUGUCGUAACGGUUGCUUUUCAAAUAGCUUUUCAUGCCGAAAUACAUGCCAAUAAUGUUUUUUUAUUUUUUAAAAAUUAUUUUUGACAUCAGCCCAUCAAAACGAUCCAAAAAAUACAAACCGAAUUCAAUUUUAGCAAAAAAAAAAUUAAUUUAAAUUUAAACAAAAUACAGUUACAAACACAAUACCAAACAGUCUCUAAUGUACCGUAUGCUUUCUAUUCCUUCUCGGUGAAUUUGCAGAGAGCUAAAUGUCAUGUAUUAUGAAUUUGUAGUUUAAUCAAUUUAAUAUAUAGUUAUUGGAAAGCUAAAUGUCAUGUAUUAUGAAUUUGUAGUUUAAUCAAUUUAAUAUAUAGUUAUUGGAAACAGAGAAAUUGGACAUUAAUUAUUUUGGUGAUCGAGCAAAUGCAAAGGGUUUGAUGGUAAGAUUAUCGUUGCUUUUAUUAAAAGCAAGCAAUUCGAAUAAAAAAGAGAUAUAGAGGGGUUGUAGUGUAGUUGUUGCAACUUUUAGCGAUACGUAUAACUCCACCUACUGCUUUUAUGUUAUUUCACCAUUUUCUCAGAAGUCAUAUUCGUCGAAUCUCUUGAUUUCUUUACAAUGACCAAGUUUACAGAUUCUCUUUGUUUUUUUAAAAAGUUGCAUGUGAGCUUAGCUCAUGAACUUCCUAAAUAUUCCCAUAAGCACAUAUAAUCAUUUCAAUGAGAUCUGGAUUCGAAGAAGUCUAUGAAUUCCUUGACAGUCACCAAGUCUGUAGCUUUUAUUUGGUAAAAUCGUUGUUUAUAUCAUCAAAUAACAAGUGUCCACCUCAUUUCAAACCGCAACUUUUUUUCAUCCUCCAUUAAUGUCAUUAAAAUGGAUAAAGAUCCAACCUUUCUUGAUGUGGCACUGCACUGACAAACAAAGAAGCUGGAGGCUUGAUUAGAUUUUUGUUUUUGUGCUAUUGAAUGAUUUUGGAUUGGGAAGUUAGCUGAUUUUUCGACAGUUCAAUGUCAUACUUGAUUCAAACUUUCAAUUGUCUUCUUUGAGUUUAAAUGAACCUGCAUCACUUUUCUGGUGGAUCAUAUCCAUGCAUUCAACAAAGACUUUGAAUCCUUCCCUGCUUGGAAUAAUUGAUUUCUAGUAACAUGUUCUUUCAUUCAUAUCUAGAAUUUGAAAUAAUUUGAAAGCUUAAACAUUGACAUAGCUGACACACGAAUUCUAAUAAUUAAAAUCUAAAAUUAAUUUUUCUGUUUUUGUUAGUAUCAUUAAUCAAUUUUAAUUUGAUGUUUGUAUUAUCGACAAGUCAAUUCUUUUUUUUAUGGGAAUUAGUAGAGGGGUUUGGUUUGGAUAUAUACAGUUUCAUCAUAAAUGUUCAAAUGGAUGUCUAUAACUGAUUCGAAGCUCUGGUUGUGUAGAAGAUUUCAAUUAAUCCUUAAAAAAACAGAAUCAAAAGCAAAGAUACUACAAUAUUACUAUAUGCAGUAAAAUUAUUCCUUGAGCUGCACCUUCUUUACAAUACAACCUAGAAGAAAUGAUAACAUAGUUAAUCUCAGUAAAAGUGCCAUGGCUUUUCAAGCAAGGUUUUAUGCAAAGACAGAAAUUCAUGCUAUCAAGAUGAAGACGAAAAGAAUAUUUGUCUGUUCAAUUUUGAAAUCUUCAAUAAUUAAUUAUUCACAUCGAUUGUUUCCCUGCCUGUCUGGAGAAAGGGAUUUCUGUUUUCCUUUUACAAUUGCUAGCAUUUUUUCCAGGAUGCUCUCUCUGUUUUUUUCCUUGGUUCUGUCUGCUGAUUUGAAUGGAUUAUGUUUCCCUUGGCUUUAUCACUGUUGUUCACGAUCCUCUACUAUGACGACCUCAUGCUAUUGUAAAUUACAGUUGCUGUAAAUUGUUGCUGUUUCAGCUCAAAUCAGAUAGCCAACACAGACCCAAGAAAGGAAAAUGCAUAGAUUGGUUUGUGCUUUUACCAGCCGUUUUCAGGUAUGUUGCCUGAUCCAUUUUCUUUUUUGCCAUAUAAUUCCCUUUUAUUCUUGCCUGUCCAUCAAUUUCCUUUGAUGUAUGUUUCCCUUCCAUAGCCACCAAGAUCUAAUAAGUUAAUUUUUUUAUUAAUGUUUCUUUCAUCUUCUUUGAUUUUUGCUGGAUUCUCCUCCUCGGUGAUUUCCAAAAUAGUUUAUUACAUGUUUGCAGAGACACUAUACAGUUUUGUAGGCUCUAGGUCUGGAUGAAGAUGACAUGCCAGAAAUCAAUGAAGAAACCCUUCCUGAUGAAGAGGCCAUGGCUAGGUAAGGACAAAUUUUAACUUCAUAUGUUCUGCUGCAUCCACCAUUCUUUCAUUGUCCGCCCUUCAUGUGGAUCUUAGCAAUCUUUUUCGUCUACUUGACAAAUGUUCACAUUUACGGUCCACAGGCUAGGAGUUGCUGAAGCAGUUGAAAAGUUCAAGCUUCCUGUCUAUGGAGACAAUGGCGAUGAGGAAAGUGCCAUUGGCAAUGGAAAAGCAAGCAAUGCCUCCAAAAAACGUAAACCAGUUGCUGAAAAUACAGCUAAGGAGUCUGCAAACUACAACUGGCCAGAUCUUACUGAUAGUGGACAUGUUUGCUUUCUUAUGUUUCAAGGACGAUGGUAUUAAGUCUUAAUUAAGUGCACAAAUUUGGCUUAAUCGGUAUUAAGUACACUCCGCUUGAGUAAAUAAAUCCCUCUCCUUAACAUCUAUCAAGAUUGACAAAAAUUUAUGGGCUUCAUUUGUUAAAUGGACAGAAGUCCUUACAGACAAGGAUUUCAGAAAAACAUUGUAGUCCAUAUCAAAAAGUAAUCAAAGUAGAUCAAAAAAGAUGCUCUCAUGUUCUCCUAGACCUAGACAGGCUACAACCAGGAGUGAUCUAUGUUUUAUGUAUGAGGGGCUUGAAAAGUUAUUUAUUAACCAAGCCAAUUAAAUUUUUUUUUCCCUGUGAUGGCACCAUCCUGGUGCCCAAGUUUUUCUUCCUUUUUUCUUUUUUCUUUUUUCUUUUUUCUUUUUUGGCGCCAUCCACAUUGUUUGGAAAUUGCUGCGCCUUUACAAUUGUUACUUCUCUCUUUUCACAGGUCUCCCUAUGUGCUGCACAACUCUUGCAUAUGGGAGGAUUGAUACUGGUGUUUCACCUCUGCAAGUUUCUCUGCAGAAAAUUUUUAGAACUGGAUUGAAGUUUAGGUGUUUACAAGUCUAAGUUGGAUUUUGAACAUUUCUUCUUCCACAAAUGUUAUUUUUUAAGGGCUUUGCAAACUAAUGCUGUUUCUUUUGACAUGCAGAUAUCUGAAUUGCAUACCACUCGCUAAUUUUUUGUUGAUUGCAGUAAAAUGAGAGCCUUGGCAGAGGAGCUUCAAAGACAGUGUAUGAAUCCAGGCUCUUUUCUUUCUGUGAGUUCUUGUUAAUGGUUUGUCGAUUGAUUUAAGCAGGUAUAAAGCAGUUGAUGAGUGAAAGGAUUGAAGUUACUAGGAACCGAGUCUGCCUCCAUUGUUUCUUGAAAAACCUUAAGGUUUUGGUAAUGGUUUGUUGUCAAGACAGUAAGAAUUUGUCGAACUCUAAUGAUUUCACGGCCCAUUCUUUACUUUUCUGCUGAUUGUGCUUUACGGGUCUUUUGAAUCGUUUAUAAUCUUUUGAUUAUAUUCUCUUUGCUUUUUUGGUCUUUUAUUAGACUGAAGCACAGAAGAUAAAACAUUAGAGUUGCGAAGCAUUGGCGUAGGCAGAUCUUGAGAGGCAUUUUCAUUAAAAAAAUAUAUAUUUUGAAAAAUAUUUGAUAUCCUAAUAUUAGCUCUAAAUCCGCCGCCACAAAUUGGUGAAAGCUGGCCAGUAGAUUUGCUUGGAUUGUAGUUUUAUUUUAAGUGUUUUUACUUGAAAAUAUAUUAAAAUAAUAUAUUUUAUGUUUUUUUAAAUUAUUUUUAUAUCAAUAUAUUAAAAUAUUUUAAAAAUAUUAAUUUAAAGUAAAAUAAAAAGAAUUAAAUUUUUUAAAAAAUAUUUUAAAAACACAAAACAAAGACAGUAACGCGGCUAUUUCAGUUGAUCGGAGCUUUUAAUGAUUAUUACAGUCCCUCCCCUUUAUUUCAAUAGGAAAUUGAACAGCGAGAACAAAACUUGACAGUGAGGAAAGAAUGUAGGAUUUUUUAGGAUACAUUGUUUAUGAGGAGCCUUUUCGUAGAUUUUGGCCUUCAUGAUUUCUUCUCUUCUUUUGGUCCUUUUGACUUUGAAGCUUUUUUAUUUCUUUAUUUAAAACUUCAUUUUAUUCGCAUUGUAAUUUUUAUAUUUAAGAAAUGAGAAAAAGAAAGAGAGUUGAUAAAAAAUAGUGGAAGAAAAAGAAUUGUUGGUUGCUCACAUUCUGAUAACUAAAAAAAUUAAUUUUGAUGUCAUUGAAUUUCUUUUAACAAGAAGAGUUCUAUAUGGUGGGUUUUUUUAAACAACCCUUUGUUUUUUAAAAAAAAAUUGAUUAAAAUUAAUUAUAAUAAAAUGAUUUACAAUAUAUUUAGGAUUUUAUUUUAUUAGAUAACAUUCAGUUUUAGCUUUUCUUCUCAAAUAAGGUUAUAAUAUUUUUUAAAAUAUAUUGGCAAGCGUUUUUUUACAAACCUUGAUGAUUAUUACUUUUUUCCCUUAAAUUUUAGUCAAGAUUCAUUAUGAUCAAAUUAUUAAAAUUAUAUUUAGGAUUUUAUUCCAUAGGAUAACACUCAUGUUAUUUGUUUUUAGAUAAGAUUAUAUUACUUUUUUUUUAUAAUAUCAGCAGUUAUUUUGAUUGAUUAUUAUAUGUUAACCUACUACAUAGAGUUUGAUGCAAACCUAGAGGGAAAAACUGGUGAACCCGCAUGCAAGAAAAAAACAACCCAAAAAAACUAAAAUCAAAUUACAGUAAAAAUCUCAACACAAUAAUUACAUGAACCAAAAUAUCAAAGUUAUUAAAUGAAAAAAAAAAAACUAACCUUGUGAUUAUAGUUAAUUACGAACUAAAAAUAUAAGAAAAACGCCACAAAAACAAUUGAUUUUUGAUAAAUCAAAGAAAAUUUCAAUGAAGAACCAAAAAUAUGAAUAACCUUGUACAAAUAAUAUUAUUAUGAAAUAAACCAAGUCUACAAAAAAAAAUCUAAAUAUAAGUAAAAUAACUAUAUUUAUACCAAGUAAAAACAUCCUAAAUAAUAUUAAAAAAUAAAAAUAAAAAAUAUAUUUUUUCCAUGCACAACUAAUCUUUUUGCUCCUACCUCAUUCAUCUAGACUUUUUUUAAUUCUUCAUUCCAUCGAAACCUAUUAUUAAUUUUACUAAUGUUAUGAAUUUUAAACUAAACUUAAUAAUUCCCCAUUUUAAAUUCAAUAAUGCCCUUAGAUUUAUUUUUGUAGAUCACCCUCUUCAUUACACGUCAGAUUUAGUAGUAUUAUCAUUGUUUAUCUAUUUCUUUUCAUAAUAAGUUUUCAUUAUUCGUCAAGGUCUUAUCAUCUUCAAUUCCACGCUCACGUGGAGGUUUACAUAAACUGUUAGAUUUAGAACAUUAAUGAAUGAUAAAUGUUUUUUCUCGGAUCAAAAAUUAAGUUCUUGUUCAAACUUCCAAUAAGAAAAAGAAAAGAAAACAUAUGAAACCACGUUAAUACUCAGAACAUUAUAGAUUGUUCUGUUUAUCUCUGCAACUUUUUUUUCUUGCUACUAAAGAACAUUUUUUUACAAUUUCAUUCAUCUAAGUUUUAUUAAUAAGGAUUUAUGUGUCGGGAUUUUUUUCACUUUGCAUAUGUGAAGUGUCGAGGAAUGAUCAAGUGUUAAUUUAAGGAUGAUUUUGCAAAAUAUAAUUUUAGCUGUAGUUCAAAAAAAGAAAUUCAGAGAACAAGGAAAAAAAAGAAAAACAGAGCUUGGUAUUGAAAAGACAAAAAAACAAAACUUUAGUUUGGUCCCUGAAGUUUUAGAAUUUUAUAUUUUGAUACUAAAAUCCCUUUUUCAUAUUGUUGUCCAUUAGUAACGAGAAAAGAUUUAAAAAAUUAUUGAAAAAUAAAAAAAUAAUUAAAAAAAUCAAUAAGUAUUGUCCUUUAACCAUACUAAAAAAAAAAAAAACUGAUUUCCAUCAAGUGUUUUAGGUGUUCUGCCUAAACUCGCAGCAUUGUUCAUAAUUUUUAUAUAGAAAAACAGUCCAAAGUUUUUUAAUUUUAUGAAUUAUGUUUUUUUAGAGUUGUUGUUCUGGAUUUGUUCUUAAUCGACUUGCACAUGAUGCUUAAUAAUAAUUCAGAUUUUCCUUUUAAAAGAAAAAGAAAAAGAAAAAACCCAAACAUCCCUUAUCAGCGUACUAGAAUACCCUUAUUCGAGAAACAAAACACACAGAAUAAGUCAAUAAGCUCUGAUGAACCCUAAAAGAGCCCACAUAUAUACUUCACUCAACCCUCCUCUCACUACAAAACCCUAGAGCACAAACUAUCCCUCCCCCCAUCUCUCUCACGAACACACACCCCCACGCCGCCAAAUGGCCGCCGCCGCCCGCCCCCUUGUCUCCGUACAACCUCUACCCGCGUCCCUCAAUGACAUGGCCACUGAUUCUGUCACAACCGUGGCUCUCCCCGAUGUCAUGAAGGCCUCAAUCAGACCGGACAUCGUCAAUUUUGUCCACUCCAACAUCUCCAAGAACAGCCGUCAACCUUACGCCGUCUCAAAGAAGGCCGGCCACCAGACCUCAGCCGAAUCUUGGGG
rnacentral:lncRNA from 1 species